rnacentral:tRNA from 1 species
AGGAGAAUAGUUAAUUAUAACAUUUAAAUUGCAAUUAAAAAUUAUACUAAAUGUAUUUCUCUUA